UGCCGAACAUCCCAGGGGACCUGGAGA
rnacentral:piRNA from 1 species